rnacentral:rRNA from 1 species
GGGGCGGGGCGGCGGGGGUCUGGGGACCCUCCGCGCAGGUAGGCAAGCGUAUUAACAGGGGUGACGCGCAGUGGUGGCCCCGCGGGUCUGAUGGCUCGGCCCGUUCAAGCGCGCGGCCCGCCGCCCAGGCAAAUCCGGGCGGCUGCCUUCGAUGGCGGGGGUGAGGCGCGAUGGUGACCCGGCCCGGUGGGGCCGGGGAAGUAGGGUGAUCCUGUGGCGCCGAGAAAAGCCUCGACGCGAGGGGCCGGUCCGCCCGUACCCCAAACCGACACAGGUGGUCGGGCAGAGCAUGCCCAGGCGCACGGGCGAACCGUGGUGAAGGAACUCGGCAAAACGCCCCCGUAACUUCGGGAGAAGGGGGGCCCGAACCCUGAAACGGCUGGCCCGUUGGGGGUGAGGGUCGCAGAGGCCAGGGGGGAGCGACUGUUUACUAAAAACACAGGUCCGUGCGAAGCCGCAAGGCGAUGUAUACGGACUGACGCCUGCCCGGUGCUGGAAGGUCAAGAGGAUCCCUCAGCCCCCCACGGGGGUGAAGGGGUGAGUCCAAGCCCCAGUAAACGGCGGUGGUAACUAUAACCAUCCUAAGGUAGCGAAAUUCCUUGUCGGGUAAGUUCCGACCUGCACGAAUGGCGUAACGACUUCCCCGCUGUCUCCACCACGGGCUCGGCGAAAUUGCACUACGAGUAAAGAUGCUCGUUACGCGCAGAAGGACGGAAAGACCCCGGGACCUUCACUGCAGCUUGGUAUUGGCGCCCGGUUCGGCUCGUGCAGGAUAGGUGGGAGACUGUGAGGCCGCCGCGUCAGCGGUGCGCGGAGUCGUCGUUGAGAUACCACUCCGGCCGUGUCGUGCGCCUGAACCUGGGCCCGUGAUCCGGGUCAGGGACAGUGCCUGGCGGGUAGUUCAACUGGGGCGGUUGCCUCCCAAAGGGUAACGGAGGCGCUCAAGGGUCCCCUCAGCCUGGUCGGCAACCAGGUGUCGAGUGCAAGUGCACAAGGGGGCUUGACUGCGAGACCGACGGGUCGGGCAGGUGCGAAAGCAGGAACUAGUGAUCCGGCGGCUCCGUGUGGACGGGCCGUCGCUCAACGGAUAAAAGGUACCCCGGGGAUAACAGGCUGAUCCUGCCCAAGAGUCCAUAUCGACGGCAUGGUUUGGCACCUCGAUGUCGGCUCGUCGCAUCCUGGGGCUGGAGCAGGUCCCAAGGGUUGGGCUGUUCGCCCAUUAAAGCGGUACGCGAGCUGGGUUUAGAACGUCGUGAGACAGUUCGGUCCCUAUCCUCUGCGCGCGCAGGAGACUUGAGGAGACCCGUCCCCAGUACGAGAGGACCGGGACGGACGGACCUCUGGUGCGCCAGUUGUCCCGCCAGGGGCACCGCUGGUUGGCCACGUCCGGGAAGGGUAACCGCUGAAGGCAUCUAAGCGGGAAACCACCUCCAAGACCAGGUCCCCGCACAACCCCCCCAGGGUGUUGUGGAAGGCCCCCAGUGGACCACUGGGUCGAUAGGCCGGAGGUGCAAGCCCGGCAACGGGCUCAGCCGACCGGUACUAAUAGGCCGACACGAACCACA